rnacentral:lncRNA from 1 species
CUGAGAGUUUAGUCAUCUGAAGGUUUGCCUAGCAUGAAAAUUUCACACAGUUACUUCUGCUAGAUUCUUCCUGGCCAAGCAAGUUACUAAAUUCAGCCCAGAUUCAAGUGGAGAGGAAGUAGACUCCAUCUCUUGGUGUGGGAGUAGCAUGUGGGCAUAGGGAGAAAAAGAAUUGAUGGUGGCCGUCUUUGGAAACUAGCUAUCACAGCAUAAUUGAUG